UGUAGGAUAGGUGGGAGGCUUUGAAGCGUGGACGCCAGUCUGCGUGGAGCCAACCUUGAAAUACCACCCUUUAAUGUUUGAUGUUCUAACGUUGGCCCCUGACCGGGGUUGCGGACAGUGUCUGGUGGGUAGUUUGACUGGGGCGGUCUCCUCCCAAAGCGUAACGGAGGAGCACGAAGGUUAGCUAAUCCUGGUCGGACAUCAGGAGGUUAGUGCAAUGGCAUAAGCUAGCUUGACUGCGAGCGUGACGGCGCGAGCAGGUGCGAAAGCAGGUCAUAGUGAUCCGGUGGUUCUGAAUGGAAGGGCCAUCGCUCAACGGAUAAAAGGUACUCCGGGGAUAACAGGCUGAUACCGCCCAAGAGUUCAUAUCGACGGCGGUGUUUGGCACCUCGAUGUCGGCUCAUCACAUCCUGGGGCUGAAGUAGGUCCCAAGGGUAUGGCUGUUCGCCAUUUAAAGUGGUACGCGAGCUGGGUUUAGAACGUCGUGAGACAGUUCGGUCCCUAUCUGCCGUGGGCGCUGGAGAAUUGAGGGGGGCUGCUCCUAGUACGAGAGGACCGGAGUGGACGCAUCACUGGUGUUCGGGUUGUCAUGCCAAUGGCACUGCCCGGUAGCUAAAUGCGGAAGAGAUAAGUGCUGAAAGCAUCUAAGCACGAAACUUGCCCCG
rnacentral:rRNA from 1 species